AUUGAACGCUGGCGGCAGGCCUAACACAUGCAAGUCGAGCGGAUGACGGGAGCUUGCUCCUUGAUUCAGCGGCGGACGGGUGAGUAAUGCCUAGGAAUCUGCCUGGUAGUGGGGGACGACGUUUCAAAAGGAACGCUAAUACCGCAUACGUCCUACGGGAGAAAGCAGGGGACCUUCGGGCCUUGCGCUAUCAGAUGAGCCUAGGUCGGAUUAGCUAGUAGGUGAGGUAAUGGCUCACCUAGGCGACGAUCCGUAACUGGUCUGAGAGGAUGAUCAGUCACACUGGAACUGAGACACGGUCCAGACUCCUACGGGAGGCAGCAGUGGGGAAUAUUGGACAAUGGGCGAAAGCCUGAUCCAGCCAUGCCGCGUGUGUGAAGAAGGUCUUCGGAUUGUAAAGCACUUUAAGUUGGGAGGAAGGGCAGUAAGUUAAUACCUUGCUGUUUUGACGUUACCGACAGAAUAAGCACCGGCUAACUCUGUGCCAGCCGCCGCUGUAA
rnacentral:rRNA from 1 species